GUUCCGAUAGCUCAGUGGUAGAGCAAUCGACUGCAGCCCACCCUCCAUGGUCGGAAUCGAUAGGUCAGGCGUUCGAACCGCCUUCGGAACU